AAGCCUUUAUCGCUUAAUCAAUUCAUGAGCGGAGGAACCAUUAUUGACGUAUAUUUUUCGUCUUGGGGUGAAUCAUUGUUAUGAAGGGGAACUCUCAUCCCCUAACCCGACAGCUAACUUCGUAAGCGUGUAGAGAGAAAGG
rnacentral:sRNA from 2 species